UACGUAGGGGGCGAGCGUUGUCCGGAUUUAUUGGGCGUAAAGAGCUCGUAGGCGGUUCGGUAAGUCAGAUGUAAAAACUCCAGGCUCAACUUGGAGAGGCCAUCUGAUACUGCCGUGACUAGAGUCCGGUAGAGGAGCACGGAAUUCCUGGUGUAGCGGUGAAAUGCGCAGAUAUCUGGAGGAACACCGGUGGCGAAGGCGGCAUUCUGGACCGGCAUUGACGCUGAUGAACGAAAGCCAGGGGAGCAAACGGG
rnacentral:rRNA from 1 species